GAAGCACCAGAACCUAGAGUGAGGAUCUUCUGAAGAAAUACAAGUUAUGGAUUAUUUUACUUUCCCAUGUGAAAGCAUACUGGUGAAGUCAAAGGUCAACUGACUGUCUCUCAUACUAAUGGACUGCAGACAUAGACUCUCAGGGUACUGGCCUGAAUUAAGAGUAACCCAGAACAUUAAGGAAGCCAAAACCUACUCUAAGAAGCAGAAGGACCUACCCCCGCCGAAAUCAGCUUUGUUCUAAAUCCAGACUGGUUUUGAAUGACUAGUGGAACUACUUGGAAAGGAAAAGGGACCUGGAUGAAGAAAUGCCAGAUAUAACUAUAUGAAGAUUCAAACAUACCCUUGUAGGUUUUAAUGAAGGAAAAAAAACUAUAUAUAUAUAUAUAUAUAUAUA